rnacentral:rRNA from 1 species
AUUGAACGCUAGCGGGAUGCUUUACACAUGCAAGUCGAACGAGUGGCGGACGGGUGAGUAAUGUAUCGGGACGUGCCCGAUAGCGGGGGAUAACUACUGGAAAGAGUGGCUAAUACCGCAUACUAUCGGAGCGGCCGAUAUGGGAUUAGCUAGUUGGUGGGGUAAAGGCUGACCAAGGCGACGAUCUGUAGCUGGUCUGAGAGGACGACCAGCCACACUGGGACUGAGACACGGCCCAAACUCCUACGGGAGGCAGCAGUGGGGAAUUUUGGACAAUGGGGGCAACCCUGAUCCAGCCAUCCCGCGUGUAUGAGAAGGCCUUCGGUUUGUAAAGUACUUUCGGCAGAGAAGCGGUAUCUGCAGAAUAAGCACCGGCUAACUACGUGCCAGCAGCCGCGGUAAUAC